GAUGAACGCUGGCGGCGUGCCUAAUACAUGCAAGUCGAGCGAACAGACGAGGAGCUUGCUCCUCUGACGUUAGCGGCGGACGGGUGAGUAACACGUGGAUAACCUACCUAUAAGACUGGGAUAACUUCGGGAAACCGGAGCUAAUACCGGAUAAUAUAUUGAACCGCAUGGUUCAAUAGUGAAAUACGGUUUUGCUGUCACUUAUAGAUGGAUCCGCGCCGCAUUAGCUAGUUGGUAAGGUAACGGCUUACCAAGGCAACGAUGCGUAGCCGACCUGAGAGGGUGAUCGGCCACACUGGAACUGAGACACGGUCCAGACUCCUACGGGAGGCAGCAGUAGGGAAUCUUCCGCAAAGGGCGAAAGCAUGACGGAGCAACGCCGCGUGAGUGAUGAAGGUCUUCGGAUCGUAAAACUCUGUUAUUAGGGAAGAACAAAUGUGUAAGUAACUAUGCACGUCUUGACGGUAACUAAUCAGAAAGCAACGGCUAACUACGUG
rnacentral:rRNA from 1 species